CUUGAACGCUGGCGGCAGGCUUAACGCAUGCAAGUCGAGCGGAGAUGAGGUGCUUGCACCUUAUCUUAGCGGCGGACGGGUGAGUAAUGCUUAGGAAUCUGCCUAUUAGUGGGGGACAACAUUCCGAAAGGAAUGCUAAUACCGCAUACGUCCUACGGGAGACAGCAGGGGAUCUUCGGACCUUGCGCUAAUAGAUGAGCCUAAGUCGGAUUAGCUAGUUGGUGGGGUAAAGGCCUACCAAGGCGACGAUCUGUAGCGGGUCUGAGAGGAUGAUCCGCCACACUGGGACUGAGACACGGCCCAGACUCCUACGGGAGGCAGCAGUGGGGAAUAUUGGACAAUGGGGGGAACCCUGAUCCAGCCAUGCCGCGUGUGUGAAGAAGGCCUUAUGGUUGUAAAGCACUUUAAGCGAGGAGGAGGCUACUGAGACUAAUACUCUUGGAUAGUGGACGUUACUCGCAGAAUAAGCACCGGCUAACUCUGUGCCAGCCGCCGCGGUAACAC
rnacentral:rRNA from 1 species